rnacentral:rRNA from 1 species
CCGGUAGGCCCUAAACCCGCAAAGGGAGGGACGACCGGUCGAAGGUGGGUCUCGUGACUGGGGUG